CGCUGGCGGCAUGCCUAACACAUGCAAGUCGAACGGAAGUAGAAAUACUUAGUGGCGAACGGGUGAGUAACACGUGAGCAACCUGCCUUAUACACAGGGAUAACAGUUGGAAACGACUGCUAAUACCGGAUAAGACCACACUAUGGCAUCAUAGGGGGGUCAAGGCGAAUAAGCGGUAUAAGAUGGGCUCGCGUCCAAUUAGCUAGUUGGUGAGGUAACGGCCCACCAAGGCGACGAUUGGUAGCCGACUUGAGAGAGUGAUCGGCCACACUGGAACUGAGACACGGUCCAGACUCCUACGGGAGGCAGCAGUGGGGAAUAUUGGGCAAUGGAGGAAACUCUUACCCAGCAAUGCCGCGUGAGUGAUGAAGGUCUUUGGAUUGUAAAGCUCUUUGAUUGGGGACGAAUAAAUGACGGUACCCAAAGAACAAGCCCCGGCUAACUAUGUGCCAGCAGCCGC
rnacentral:rRNA from 1 species